rnacentral:rRNA from 1 species
CGUUAUCCGGAAUCAUUGGGCGUAAAGCGCCUGUAGGUUGUUUAAUAAGUCUGUUGUUAAAGACUAGGGCUCAACCCUAGAAAAGCAAUGGAUACCACUAGACUAGAGUAUGGCAGGGGUAGAGGGAAUUUCUAGUGUAGCGGUGAAAUGCGUAGAUAUUAGAAAGAACACCGGUGGCGAAAGCGCUCUACUGGACCAUUACUGACACUCAGAGGCGAAAGCUAGGGUAGCAAAAGGGAUUAGAUACCCCUGUAGUCCUAGCCGUAAACGAUGGAUACUACAUGUUGUAUUUAUUUUACAGUAUGGUAGCUAACGCGUUAAGUAUCCCGCCUGGGGAGUACGCUCGCAAGGGUGAAGCUCAAAGGAAUUGACGGGGGCCCGCACAAGCGGUGGAGCAUGUGGUUUAAUUCGAUGCAACGCGAAGAACCUUACCAGGGCUUGACAUACUGCGAAUCUCUUUGAAAGAAGAGAGUGCCUUCGGGAAUGCAGAUACAGGUGGUGCAUGGCUGUCGUCAGCUCGUGUCGUGAGAUGUUGGGUUAAGUCCCGCAGCGAGCGCAACCCUUGUUUUUAGUUACCAAUUCGUUGGGUUUUCUAGAAAGGCUGCCGGUGACAAACCGGAGGAAGGUGAGGAUGACGUCAAGUCAGCAUGCCCCUUAUGUCCUGGGCUACACACGUGCUACAAUGGUGAGGACAAAGAGUCGCAAGUUUGUAAAAACAAGCUAAUCUCGUAAACCUAACCUAAGUUCAGAUUGUAGGCUGCAACU